UUUCCGUAGGUGAACCUGCGGAAGGAUCAUUAUUGUACAACCGAGGAACGAGGGCUCUCACUGACCAACUAGCGCGUGCACACGGAAGUGCCUUUAUAUACAAAAAUCGCACGCCUCUGAGCACUAACGAGCGGAUCAAGCUAUGGCCAGUUCGGAGGGGUGCUCAGGUCUUCCCACAAACUUUGUACGCAGAGUAGUAUGUAUUUUUUGUCUUUGCGAUCACGCAAUCAAUAACACUUUCAACAACGGAUUGCUUGGUUCUCGCAUCGAUGAAGAACC
rnacentral:misc_RNA from 1 species